ensembl:lncRNA uncharacterized LOC104151891
AAGGAAGUGGAGACAGAAGAACUUGAAGGUGUUGCUUCUUGUCUUUCAGGGCCAGAGUUUUCAUGGAUAUUGGCAUACGUUUCUAUGAGAAGCUGCCACAGAGUCCUGCAGGACAAGUAUGGGGAGUUUUCUCCUCCAGCAUAUCACAGCGAUGCCCCAAUAAGCUUCUGGUGCAACUGGACUAUCCAGGCGGGCUCCAGAAAGCACAUAAUCAUUUAUAUUCAGGGAUUUAUGACUAAGGAGGAUUGCAACAAAAAUGAGGACAAAAUCUUGUUUGAAGGAGUUUCCUCACUGGUAGAGGACAGUGUGGUUUAUGCUUGCUGGAAAAAGGAGAUGCAUGUUUUUGCCACCUUUGCUGAGGCCGUCCAUGUUGUGUUACUGAAGACAUACCUGCCCAACUGCAGAGACACGCAAUUUAAAGGCAAGUAUUACAUCUUUCACGAUGAGGAAGGUGAAUCAUCCUCGAGAGAGGAUCUGAUUUCUGAAACUCCUUCAAAAGUACCGAAGCGAGAUCAUAUUCUUCAGUCUGGGGUGAUGGAAGACCUUAGAGAUGUGCUGAGCUUUGCAACCACUGCGAGCCUUGGGAGUCUUGAUAAGCCCACGGCAGUUAGCACUUUGAUCCCAGUGUCGCACCAAGGGCUGAGGACAGAGCUGCUGGAAACAAAUGCUCCUUAUGUGCUGGGCUGCCUGUGGCCGGCAGCUCCAGCGCUCUGUGGGCAGGACCCAGGCAGAGGAAGCUCUUGGAGUGCAAGCCCCACUGCAACCCUGGAUACCUGGAGGCCCAGUCUCUCCAUGAGUGGAGACAUUGCUGUGGAUUUUGGUUAUAUACAUGGAUUUUCAAGCGUGCUUUCUGAAACACCGUUGCUUGGUGCUUUGGAGGGAGAGGAGCCUUUCCUGGGGCCUGCUGGUGUGGGCUUGGAGAGCAGGCAGGUGUCCCUGAACCCUUCUCUGCAGCCCAAAGAUCUGGGAGACCCACAGUUUAACAUCAAACCAACGCACAUGAGUGACCUGGACUUGGCUGCACCUUCACAGGCUUUGUCUCCCAGCAGAGAAGAGGGCAUUGAUCCUGCCGUGUACCAGGGGCUCAGCACAGUUGGGUUGGAGAAGACCAAAAGGUGUCCCCUGUUGAGCAGUGUGGCUGAUGGAGCAGCGAGCAGUCUUGCCGAGAGCCUGAUGCCUAGCUUGACUAGCCAAAACGAUCUGGUAAAUGGGGGUCACUCACCACUGCUACCUGGGAGAAGCUUUUUUGAGGCUUUGUCCGUGACUGAACCUGAGCUGAGAACAAGUGUCCUCCAGCAUAUGACGUUUGUGGGUUUUCCUGCUCCGGGAAGUUUCAGGGGAGUUACUGAUGAGGUGAAGAAGGUGCUACAUCCUACAGCAUCGUGGGACAUCCUCAGAGGCCAACCUCAGCUGAGCACCCAGAGCAGCCAUGUCCUCCAGUUAGUCCCUACUGACCCCAGGAGGGUUGGCCCAUGCAGUGAUCAUGUGCCCUGUGCGCCCUCUUUGGGUGUGAAAAACUGUGGCUCUCUGAGCAGCACUGUGACACAGCUGCCGUUGGCCAUUCCCCUUCUGCCAGCAGCAUGGGGAUGUGCUCCCUCCACGUCAGAGCCAGUAUUUUCCACCCUGGGGAUGGAAAUGACUCCGAUGCUGGUGUGUCCCAGCCUAGACCCUGCCUCAACAGAGCUCGGCUCCCCUGAUUUCACCCUGGCAGCAUCUUUGCCUGCAGAACAGACUGCGGAGCUGGGGAUGUCAGAGCCUUUUGCUGUUUUCACUGCAAAUGCUGAGGCCUUCACAGCACUGCCAACCUGGGAGCUGGGGGGACUUGUCGAGGGGAUGGAGCCCCCUGUGCCAGCAGCCUUUCCCCUGGAAGGCUUGGACAAGGCUUGGACCUCCAUCUCCCCAAGCCCUCGACAGGGAAGUGACCUUAUGGGUCCCUUUGUGGCCUCCUCCAGCUGCCUCGGCCCCGGUGUGAGAAAGCUCGUGCUGGAUGGGGAUGGAGAGGAGGGCAGCUGGAGAGGUGAAGUGUUGGCUCCUGCAGGCUGGGCAGACAAGGGACCCAUCCCUGCUGCCAGUGCUGCUUGGCAGCAGGUCCUCGACCCACAGCUUGGCAUGGGGCUUCCUCAGCCAGAGGACCUGGUGGCGGCAUCUCUCCCAUCAGCACCUGUGUCUCUGCCCUCUGAUGACCCCGUAUCCCAAAACAUACGGAUACCAGCAGGAGGAGAACGUCACAAACAUGCUGAUCUGGCUUCUGUUUUGGCAUCCCUUGAGAAUGAUACUGUGCUACGAUCCCAGCACCAUCCUGGAGAUGUGCUGUUUGAAGUAACCAUUGAAACCAAACACGUGGACUGGGUCCCUCGUGGUGGAAGUGAGCUCAGAAAGGACCUUCUUGAAUCCAUGAAGAGUCAUAUCCGGGAGAACCUGAAACUCUCCACCAACAGAGUGAAUGAAAUAAAAUUAAAGGAAAUCAGAAGGGUGGGCAGAGACAACCUACUGCUCACCUUCUGGCUCCACCUGAAGCCCGAGGAGAGGAACCUGUCUCUGGCCCUGCAGUCGCAGCUGCAGGAGCUGCUUGGCACAUCUGUGGGAGCAGAGAGGCCGCGGCUGGUUUCGCUCUUUGUUGAAGAUGUGAACGAGUGCAACCUCGGCCUCUGCGGCGAGGAGGCCGACUGCUUCAACGGUGUGGGCACCUACCUGUGUCGCUGCAAGAAGGACUACGAAGAUCACUCCCCUACAAAAUCUGGCACGCUGUGCAUCCCCGCGCCCCGGUCAGGCAUCAGCUUUUUCUUCCGCCAUCCCGAGGUGCUGGUGGGGGCUGCUGUCUCCUCAGUGCUGGUGCUGCUGGUGGCCGUGGGCAUCCUGUGCGGGGUGGCAAGGCAACGGCGCCCCACCGGGGAUCCCUGCCCCGAGGAGCCGGGUGCCCAGUCCGAGGAGUCGUCACCAGUGGCAGUGGUGAUGGAGCUGAACCACCUGGAUGACUGCCUCCGCCUUGAGCCCUUCCAGCUCAAGGUCCGCGCGCGGCCCCCGGACUGGAUCUCCCAAGCCCGUGCCAGCCCUGGCCAGGCCUAUGGGGUCUUCAUCGAGCAGGAUGAGAGCCUGUGAUUGGCUGGUGAGGGAGGAGAGAAAGCUCAGAGCAACAAAACAAUAAAAACAAGAUGCAACCAGCA